CUCACAGUAGCGUCCUUCUGGGGCUGGUCCUCCAGGCCAUAUGCAGUAGGGAGGGAGGAUGAGUAAAAUGGUCAUGUCAUGUGAGUAAAAUGGUCUUGUGUCAUCAUUAGGUUUUUAUUGAAAUAUACAUUGUUAAUAACGUUUGUAUUUUUGCUUGAAAGCUUAGGAAAAGUCAAUUGAGUAACUAUCCUUCAAAGAGGGUGCCAAAUAGGAGAAAAAAAUACAUUUUACCAUGGGGUCCUAGAAAGAUAGUUUGGAUAUGAAAUUUGAUAAACCAAAUAUUACGUAUAGGAUUUGCUAGUUAAAAGAAGUUAAAUUACUUCAAAAAGUGGAUACCCUUUGCAAUGCAAACAAUCCUUUGCUUUGUUUCUAAUAUUUUGCCUUUUAUACAUUAGGUUAUUUUAAAUCAUGAGAGAGAGAGAAGGAAAGGAGGGAGAGUCUGGGCGCGGUGGCUCACACCUGUAAUCCCAGCACUUUGGGAGGCCGAGGUGAGGAGAUUGCUUGAGCCCAGGAGUUCAAGACCAGCCUGGGCAACAUGGCAAAACCCCGUCACUAUAAAAAUUACAAAAAUUAGACAGGCAUAGUGGUGUGGGCCUGUAGUUCCACCUACUGAGGGGCUGAGGCAGGAGGAAUCACUUGAACCCAGGAUAUUGAGGCUGCACUGAGCCGUGAUCAUACCAUUGCACUCCAACCUUGGUGACAGAUGAGAACUUGUCUAAGAAAAAAAAAAAAAAAAAAAAACAGGAGGGAGAACUGAGGACUGGAGAGCUGGAGGAGAAGAGGAGAUUUAAAAAGUAAAAGUGAAUUAAAUCCUUUAGUAUUUAAAAAACCUCCAUAGUUCAACUGGAAAAGUUCACUAGAGCCAAACUUACAUCAUUCUAGUGCUUCAGUGCAUCUCUUGUACUGACAUAAAUAGCAUAAAUGUUAUGCUUAUAUCUAUAACACAGGUAAAAAUGUUUCUGCUGCAGUUUUACAUGGAAAUUGCUCUACAGAUCAAACUUUUUAAUUUACAGAAUUAAUCUAAGAAAGAUAAAGGAAGUUUUUUUUUUUUUUUUUUAAAUUCUGUGACUCUAGCCAAUGCAAGGGGAGAUUUUAAAGUUGAAUGAUUGAACUGUGGCUGGAAGGUAACUUAGCAAAACGUAUUGUUAUGAAAAAGUUUUAUUGAUAGCAAAAAAAACAAAAACAACUCUAGCACUUACUUUGAUGAGGCAAGUUUCUUUUAGUCUGCAGGUAAUACUAAUCCUGCUACUAUUUCAACCCAACUGUGAUUCUCUAAAGUCAAUUCAUUAUUUUCUGUAGAUCAAGGGGUCAUUCAUUAAAAGGUAAAUGGAUUCUUUCCAUAACACCAAGAAGUAACUACAUCAAGACAGCAAAUUACCAAAUGGUGGUCUGAUAUCCUCCAAGACUACAGGAGCAAUUCACUUCCAGAGUAUUUUAAUCACUAUCCAUCUCCGAAGGCCUUUAAAAAGUAGCCACUUUUAACCUACUUUUCCAUCACAACAUCACUUCUAAAAUGAAGUUCCUGAAAAGGGUGAUAAUGUGACUCACACUAGUUUUGGGUGCCUAAUCAUGCUCCCAUGGUGCCUUGUUGAUCACAUUAUCACUUCCUUAUCCAGCUGUUGAUUCAGUCCCAUUACUUGAAAAGAACCCCUUAAGGGCAGGAACCAUCUUUCAACAUCCCCCAAAUAAACAUUAUGGAAUGAGUGAGUAAAUGAAGGCAUGCAACAUGAAUUGUCCCAAGUCACAGUAGCAGAAGAUGAUGAAAUAUGUGUUUUAAAAUUCUUGAACAAAUAGGUCAGAUGUGGUGGCCCACACCUGUAAUCCCAGCACUUUGGGACGCUGGGGCGGGAGGAUUGCUUGAGGCCAGAAGUUCAAUAUCAGCCUGGGCAACAUGGUGAAACCACCUCUCUAAAAAAAAAAAAAAAAA
ensembl:lncRNA